rnacentral:rRNA from 1 species
UUGAGAGAAGCAUCUUCUUGUUUUUAAGACCUAGCAAUAGGUAUGCUUAGGGAGGAGCUUGCGUCACAUUAGUUAGUUGGUGGGGUAAAGGCCUACCAAGACUAUGAUGUGUAGCCGGGCUGAGAGGUUGAACGGCCACAUUGGGACUGAGACACGGCCCAAACUCCUACGGGAGGCAGCAGUAGGGAAUUUUCGGCAAUGGAGGAAACUCUGACCGAGCAACGCCGCGUGAACGAUGAAGUAUUUCGGUACGUAAAGUUCUUUUAUUAGGGAAGAAUAAAUGAUGGAAAAAUCAUUCUGACGGUACCUAAUGAAUAAGCCCCGGCUAACUAUGUGCCAGCAGCCGCGGUAAUACAUAGGGGGCAAGCGUUAUCCGGAAUUAUUGGGCGUAAAGGGUGCGUAGGCGGUUAAAUAAGUUUAUGGUCUAAGUGCAAUGCUCAACAUUGUGAUGCUAUAAAAACUGUUUAGCUAGAGUAAGAUAGAGGCAAGUGGAAUUCCAUGUGUAGUGGUAAAAUGCGUAAAUAUAUGGAGGAACACCAGUAGCGAAGGCGGCUUGCUGGGUCUUUACUGACGCUGAGGCACGAAAGCGUGGGGAGCAAACAGGAUUAGAUACCCUGGUAGUCCACGCCGUAAACGAUGAGUACUAAACGUUGGGUAAAACCAGUGUUGAAGUUAACACAUUAAGUACUCCGCCUGAGUAGUACGUACGCAAGUAUGAAACUUAAAGGAAUUGACGGGACUCCGCACAAGCGGUGGAUCAUGUUGUUUAAUUCGAAGGUACCCGAAAAACCUCACCAGGUCUUGACAUGCUUCUGCAAAGCUGUAGAAACACAGUGGAGGUUAUCAGUUGCACAGGUGGUGCAUGGUUGUCGUCAGCUCGUGUCGUGAGAUGUUGGGUUAAGUCCCGCAACGAGCGCAACCCUUAUUGUUAGUUACCAGCACGUAAUGGUGGGGACUUUAGCAGACUGCCAGUGAUAAAUUGGAGGAAGGUGGGGACGACGUCAAAUCAUCAUGCCCCUUAUGACCUGGGCUACAAACGUGAUACA